rnacentral:rRNA from 1 species
AUUGAACGCUGGCGGCAGGCUUAACACAUGCAAGUCGAACGAUGAUUAUCUAGCUUGCUAGAUAUGAUUAGUGGCGGACGGGUGAGUAACAUUUAGGAAUCUGCCUAGUAGUGGGGGAUAGCUCGGGGAAACUCGAAUUAAUACCGCAUACGACCUACGGGUGAAAGGGGGCGCAAGCUCUUGCUAUUAGAUGAGCCUAAAUCAGAUUAGCUAGUUGGUGGGGUAAAGGCCCACCAAGGCGACGAUCUGUAACUGGCCUGAGAGGAUGAUCAGUCACACCGGAACUGAGACACGGUCCGGACUCCUACGGGAGGCAGCAGUGGGGAAUAUUGGACAAUGGGGGCAACCCUGAUCCAGCCAUGCCGCGUGUGUGAAGAAGGCCUUUUGGUUGUAAAGCACUUUAAGCAGGGAGGAGAGGCUAAUGGUUAAUACCCAUUAGAUUAGACGUUACCUGCAGAAUAAGCACCGGCUAACUCUGUGCCAGCAGCCGCGGUAAUACAGAGGGUGCGAGCGUUAAUCGGAAUUACUGGGCGUAAAGCGAGUGUAGGUGGCUCAUUAAGUCACAUGUGAAAUCCCCGGGCUUAACCUGGGAACUGCAUGUGAUACUGGUGGUGCUAGAAUAUGUGAGAGGGAAGUAGAAUUCCAGGUGUAGCGGUGAAAUGCGUAGAGAUCUGGAGGAAUACCGAUGGCGAAGGCAGCUUCCUGGCAUAAUAUUGACACUGAGAUUCGAAAGCGUGGGUAGCAAACAGGAUUAGAUACCCUGGUAGUCCACGCCGUAAACGAUGUCUACUAGCCGUUGGGGUCCUUGAGACUUUAGUGGCGCAGUUAACGCGAUAAGUAGACCGCCUGGGGAGUACGGCCGCAAGGUUAAAACUCAAAUGAAUUGACGGGGGCCCGCACAAGCGGUGGAGCAUGUGGUUUAAUUCGAUGCAACGCGAAGAACCUUACCUGGUCUUGACAUAGUGAGAAUCCUGCAGAGAUGCGGGAGUGCCUUCGGGAAUUCACAUACAGGUGCUGCAUGGCUGUCGUCAGCUCGUGUCGUGAGAUGUUGGGUUAAGUCCCGCAACGAGCGCAACCCUUUUCCUUAUUUGCCAGCGGGUUAAGCCGGGAACUUUAAGGAUACUGCCAGUGACAAACUGGGGGAAGGCGGGGACGACGUCAAGUCAUCAUGGCCCUUACGACCAGGGCUACACACGUGCUACAAUGGUAGGUACAGAGGGUUGCUACACAGCGAUGUGAUGCUAAUCUCAAAAAGCCUAUCGUAGUCCGGAUUGGAGUCUGCAACUCGACUCCAUGAAGUCGGAAUCGCUAGUAAUCGCAGAUCAGAAUGCUGCGGUGAAUACGUUCCCGGGCCU